rnacentral:rRNA from 1 species
AUUGAACGCUGGCGGCAUGCCUUACACAUGCAAGUCGAACGGCAGCACGGGCUUCGGUCUGGUGGCGAGUGGCGAACGGGUGAGUAAUGUAUCGGAACGUACCAUUGAGUGGGGGAUAACGUAGCGAAAGUUACGCUAAUACCGCAUAUUCUCUCCGGAGGAAAGCAGGGGACCGCAAGGCCUUGCGCUCUUUGAGCGGCCGAUAUCAGAUUAGCUAGUUGGUGGGGUAAAAGCUCACCAAGGCGACGAUCUGUAGCGGGUCUGAGAGGAUGAUCCGCCACACUGGAACUGAGACACGGUCCAGACUCCUACGGGAGGCAGCAGUGGGGAAUUUUGGACAAUGGGGGCAACCCUGAUCCAGCCAUGCCGCGUGAGUGAAGAAGGCCUUCGGGUUGUAAAGCUCUUUCGGCCGGAAAAAAAUCGCAUGGAUUAAUACUCUGUGUGGAUGAUGGUACCGGAAUAAGAAGCACCGGCUAACUACGUGCCAGCCGCCGCCGUAACAC